GGAGUUUGGGCCGUGUCUCAGUCCCAAUGUGGCCGUUCAACCUCUCAGUCCGGCUAUUGAUCGUCGCCUUGGUGGUCCGUUACACCGCCAACCAGCUAAUCAAACGCGGGUCCAUCUCAUAGCGAUAAAUCUUUUCCCCCUCUGCCAUGCGGCAAUGUGGGCUUAUGCGGUAUUAGCAGCCGUUUCCAGCUGUUGUCCCCCUCUAUGAGGCAGGUUACCCACGCGUUACUCACCCGUCCGCCACUAAACUUUCAUCCUCUUCGACGAAUCUCCAAGGAAUCAGUCCCCGUUCGACUUGCAUGUGUUAGGCACGCCGCCAGCGUUCAUC
rnacentral:rRNA from 1 species